AUUGAACGCUGGCGGCAGGCUUAACACAUGCAAGUCGAACGAGUGGCGGACGGGUGAGUAAUGCUUGGGAAUCUAGCUUACGGAGGGGGAUAACUACGGGAAACUGUAGCUAAUACCGCGUACCAUAGGUUGAGCCCAAGUGGGUUUAGGUAGUUGGUGAGGUAAAGGCUCACCAAGCCGACGAUCUCUAGCUGGUCUGAGAGGAUGACCAGCCAAACUGGGACUGAGACACGGCCCAGACUCCUACGGGAGGCAGCAGUGGGGAAGAUUGCGCAAUGGGGGCAACCCGGACGUAGCAAUGCCGCGUGUAUGAAGAAGGCCUUAGGGUGGUAAAGUACUUUCGGCGGGGAGGCGUUACCCGCAGAAGAAGCACCGGCUAACUCCGUGCCAGCAGCCGCGGUAAUUC
rnacentral:rRNA from 1 species